UUUCACCUGACGAGUCCAAAAUAGGACGAAACACGCGUCCUGGAU
rnacentral:hammerhead_ribozyme from 1 species